UGAACAAUCUGCCCUUCUCUUCGGAAUAAGCGUUGGAAACGACGUCUAAUGCCGAAUACGACCUCCUUUCGCAUGAUCGGAGGUGGAAAGCUCCGGCGGAGAAGGAUGAGCUCGCGGCCUAUCAGCUAGUUGGUGUGGGUAAUGGCCCACCAAGGCGACGACGGGUAGCCGGCCUGAGAGGGUGACCGGCCACACUGGGACUGAGACACGGCCCAGACCUCCGUACGGGAGCAGCAGG
rnacentral:rRNA from 1 species